rnacentral:tRNA from 1 species
UGGUAGGUUACUCAAGCGGCAACGAGAACAGACUGUAAAUCUGUCGCCUUCGGGCUUCGAUGGUUCGAGUCCAUCACCUACCACCAA